UUCCCUUGCAUUUUUUAUUUUCGUCACAUCGAUAUGCAGCGAUGAAUGAUUAACGUGCAAUUUUGCGGUAAAAUUUUGUUGUUCUUUUUCCUUGGCGUUUUUGAUUUUCGUCAUAUUGCUUUGCAGGAAUCAAUGUCGCGCAAAUUCGACAACGUUGUUGAUAUCAAUGAUUCGAAGGAGACAUGACGUCUUGUUGUUCGUAUUCUUGAUCUAUGGAGCGUUGUUAAUAGCAAGAGUAUAGAACACCUAGAAAUGAUUGUGAUCGAAUUCAACCACACCGCAAAGUGGAAACAAAUGUUGAAAGAAGAUAUGACUUGCAUAAUAAAUAAUGGUAAUGUAUAUGAUAAUGACUUUCAAUGGAAAUGUUUGUUUUCCUAAGUGGUACAACUGUGAAGUCCAUUGAGCUUGGCAGUAUUCCCCCUAAAAAGUUUUUCUUCAAAGAAUUUUCUGAAAUCCUUCAAGGAGAUUGUAAAGUUGAGAGACUUGAAGGUGUUGUCCACGAAAUUAACAAUUAUUAGUCGAAGUCAGACAUGAAGAAAAUUGUGGUUUCUUUGAGAAUUAGGGAUUUGGGGUAAAUUUGUUAUAUUCUGUAUCAUUUAAUACAUUUAUAUAUUGAAGUUGCAUAAUUUUAAACUUUCUUCAAAAUUAUGUAUAGGGGCAAUAAUAUAAUAUGAAG